AGUAACUGCGAGUGAAAAAGGAUAAGCUCAUCGCUGAAUCUCUGUGGUUUAAAUACUGCAGCGAACUGUAGCGUAUAAGGAUAUAUUAUGGCAUUAUAUAGAUAUGUAAGUUCUCGUUGAUUCGAGUUCCAUAGAAGGUUUAAGACCUGUAAGAUAUCUAAUAUUUUGUCAAUUGAUAUACUCUUACGAGUCGGGUUGUUUGGAAACGCAGCCCAAAGUAGGUGGUAAACUUCAUCUAAAGCUAAAUAUAACCGUGAGACCAAUAGUAAACAAGUACCGUGAGGGAAAGUUGAAAAGUACUCUGAAGAGAGAGUUAAAAGAACGUGAAAACGAUUAAGUGGAAGCAAACAGGUCUAUUUGAAGGUAUGUAUUUAUGUAUAUAUCUGCUAAUAUGUAUACGAGAUGAUUAUUAYSUUGUUAUAAGAGGACUCCAAUUAUAUUGAAGAAACCAUAUAAUGAUUGAACAUUAUUCUCUUAUACGAUUAUUAGCAUUUAUGAURGUUACCUGUUUGACCCGUCUUGAAACACGGACCAAGAAGUUUAUUGUAUACGCGAGUCAUUAAGUGUAAAAACUUAUUGGCGUAAUGAAAGUGAAGGUUUAUUUGUUAAGCUUACGUAUGAUAAUGUAUUUACGGAUAUAUUAGUAAUACGGUCCUAUUCUAAUGAUUUAUCAUAGAGUGGAGAUAGAGCGUAUGCAAUGAGACCCGAAAGAUGGUGAUCUAUGCUUGAGCAGGAUGAAGCCGGAGGAAACUCUGGUGGAAGUCCGUAACGGUUCUGACGUGCAAAUCGAUCGUCUGACUUGAGUAUAGGGGCGAAAGAC
rnacentral:rRNA from 1 species